UACCUGGAGGACUAGUGGUUAGGCAACAGCGCUCUCGCCGCUGCGGCCCACGUUCGAUUCCCGGCCAGGGAA
rnacentral:tRNA from 1 species